rnacentral:lncRNA from 1 species
UGAUUUGUGCGGGCCUUAAUGCUGAAAGAACCGCAUGCCGAAGCCAGGCCUUUCCCACCCCGAAUGCGGACGGAAGGCAACUAGAAGCCCUGGGUACGUGGGUCCCACAGCCCCAGCUUCUUGGGCUUUCGAACUGGGAAGGUUCGGCUGAGGACUGAAAUGCAUAGGGAGUCCCUGACCCCAGGACGUUUGGGAACAAGUGGAACUCAUGCAGAGGCAUCCAGGUAUUUCCAGAGACUGACGAGCCGAGGUCUGCAAUCCCUUCCUAACAGCAGGUAAUGAAGGAGAGGAAGGGAGAGAGUCUCAAGUGUUCCAGAGAAUCUUGAAGUUAUAAUAGCCAAAAUCUUCCCAAAUGAGUUGGGGGAAAUUUAAAAAAUGAAGAUUCAAGAAUUUUUAAUAAAACUCAAGCAGGACGAAAACAGAACGUCCCAGAGACCACACUGUCUUGAUCUUUAUGGUCGGAAUGGAAAUCGGGUUGUUUGUUUUGCUUUGAAGCCCCAACAUGGGGCUUGAACUCAUAACCCUGAGAUUGAUACCUGAACUGGAUUCAAGAGUUGGAUGCUUGAUGGACUGAGUCACCUAAGCACCCCUACUUUUUACCUGUUGAUAUUUCAGUUUGAGUUUUCUGUUGAUCUCCUUUAAACUUCACGGAUUCUUUUCUGUGCUGAGCUGAGUCUACUGAUAUUCUUCAGGGAGCAUGGCAAGAUGGAGGAGUAGGGUCCCCAAGUCACCUGUCCCCACCAACCUACCUGGAUAACUUUCAAAUCAUCCUGAGAACCUACAAAUUCGACUUGAGAUUUAAAGAGAGAACAACUGGAAUGCUAUAGACAGAAGAGUUUGCACUUCUAACAAGUACAACUCGUUUUUAGCCACUCUGCACUGAGCAAAAUGACUAGAAAGAAGAACUCACCACAAAAGAAUUAGAAACAGUACCCUCUCCCACAGAAUUACAGAAUUUGGAUUACAACUUGAUGUCACAAACCCAAUUCAGAAGCACAAUUAUAAAGCUACUGGUGGCUCUGGAAAAAAGCAUAAAGGAUUUAAGAGACUUCAUGACUGCAGAAUUUAGAUCUAAUCAGGCCGAAAUUAAAAAUCAAUUAAAUGAGAUGCAAUCCAAACGGGAGGUCCUAAUGACAAGGGUUAAUUAGGUAGAAGAAAGAGUGAGUGACAUAGAAGACAAGUAGAUGGCAAGGAAGGAAGCUGAGGAAAAAAGAGAAAAACAAUUAAAAGACCAUGAGGGAAGGUUAAGGGAAAUAAAUGACAGCCUCAGAAGGAAAAAUCUACAUUUAAUUGGGGUUCCAGAGGGCACUGAGAGGGACAGGGGACCAGAAAGCAUAUUUGAACAUAUCAUAGCUGAGAACUUCCCUAAUUUGGGGAGGGAAACAGGCAUUCAGAUCCAGGAAACAGAGAGAUUCCCCCCCCCCCAAAUCAAUAAAACCUGUUCAACACCUUGACAUCUAAUAGUGAAACUUGCAAAUUCCAAAGAUAAAGAGAAAAUCCUUAAAGCAGCAAGAGACAAGAGAUUCCUACCUUAUAUGGGGAGAAAUAUUAGAUUAACAGCAGACCUCUCCACAGAGACCUGGCAGGCCAGAAAGAGCUGGCAGGAUAUAUUCAGGGUCCUAAAUAAGAAGAACCUGCACCAAGAAUACUUUUUCCAGCAAGGCUCUCAUUCAGAAUAGAAGGAGAGAGAAAGAGCUUCCAAGAUAGGCAGAAACUGAAAGAAUAUGUGACCACCAAACGAGCUCUGCAAGAAAUAUUAAGGGGAAUCCUGUAAAAGAAACAGGAAGCCCAAAGAAAUUAUCCACAAACACAGGGACUGAAUAGGUAUUAUGAUGACACUAAAUUCAUCUUUCAAUAGUAACUCUGAAUAUGAAUGGGCUUAAUGAUCCCAUCAAAAGACGCAGGGUUUCAGACUGGAUAAAAAAGCAAGACCCAUCUAUUUGCUGUCUACAAGCGACUCAUAUGACCUAAGGACACCUACAGCCUGAAAAUUAAAGGUUGGAGAACUAUUUCCGUUCAAAUGGUUCUCAAAAGAAAGUAGGGGUAGCAAUCUUCAUAUCAGAUAAAUUAAAGUUUAUCCCAAAGACUGUAGUAAGAAUAAAGAGGGACACUGUUUCGUACUUAAAGGGUCUAUCCAACAAGAGGCCCUAACAAUCAUGAAUAUUUAUGCCCCGAAUGUGGGAGCUGCCAAUUAUAUCAAUCAAUUAAUAACCAAAGUAAAGACAUACUUAGAUAAUAGUACACUAAUAUUAGGAGAUUUCAACAUGGGACUUUCUGCAAAUGACAGAUAAAAAACUUAACUCAAUCACAAGAAGGAAUUUGGAAGCAAUUCAAACACGUGGAGGUUAAAGACCAUCCUGCCAAAAGAUUAAAAUAGGGUCAACCAGGAUAUUAGAGAAGAGUUAAAAAGAUUCAUGGAAACUAAUGAGAAUGAAGAUACAACCGUUCAAAAUCUUUGGGAUACAGGACAAGCAGUCCUAAGAGGGAAAUGCAUCACAAUACAAGCAUCCCUCAAAAAAUUGGAAAAAAAAAA